GACGUAGGGCGCGAGCGUUGUCCGGAUUUAUUGGGCGUAAAGAGCUCGUAGGCGGCUUGUCGCGUCGUCCGUGAAAACCAGGGGCUCAACCCCUGGCUUGCGGUCGAUACGGGCAGGCUAGAGUUCGGUAGGGGAGACUGGAAUUCCUGGUGUAGCGGUGAAAUGCGCAGAUAUCAGGAGGAACACCGGUGGCGAAGGCGGGUCUCUGGGCCGAUACUGACGCUGAGGAGCGAAAGCGUGGGGAGCAAACAGG
rnacentral:rRNA from 1 species